rnacentral:rRNA from 1 species
UACGGAGGAUCCGAGCGUUAUCCGGAUUUAUUGGGUUUAAAGGGUGCGCAGGCGGGGGAUUAAGUCGGCGGUGAAAUUUUGCAGCUCAACUGUAAAAGUGCCUUCGAAACUGGUUUCCUUGAGUGUAGAUGAAGUAGGCGGAAUUUGUGGUGUAGCGGUGAAAUGCAUAGAUAUCACGAGGAACUCCGAUUGCGCAGGCAGCUUACUAAACUACUACUGACGCUCAGGCACGAAGGCGUGGGGAUCAAACAGGAUUAGAUACCCCUGUAGU